CCAUGAUAGACUCGGUUAUUGAAAACACGGAGUUGAUGUUUCCCAAGAGGUAUGAUAUCCCACCUUCCUUUGGUUCUGUUGAUCUCCUUUAGUAAAUGAAGGUGUUCAAAAAUUAAUCAUCAUUAGGUAACAUGUAACAUGUGACGGCAUUCUGUAAACCAUUCUCCCAGAAAAGGCUCAUCCCUCACCAACAGGAACUUCUGUAUAAUGCAUUCUUAAAUUCAUCCAGACUCUACCCUCUAUUUAUGAGUAUCCUGGAUAUCUCUUUAGAAUGUGAGCAUCCCAUACCUGAGCCAUAAAGACGUACAGAUGUCACCCCAUAACCCCACCAAGGACACUGUGCCUACUUAAUGUGAAUUCCUCUUGUUCAUGACUUCCGUCCAGGUUCUUUAAGAACCCAGACUGUAUUUCAUGAAGCAGAGGGAGAGUAAAAGAAGGUAAACAGUUUUUAG